GACGAACGCUGGCGGCGUGCUUAACACAUGCAAGUCGAACGGAAAGGCCCUGCUUUUGUGGGUUUCUCGAUUGGCGAACGGGUGAGUAACACGUGAGUAACCUGCCCUUGACUUUGGGAUAACUUCUGGAAACUGGGGCUAAUACCGGAUAGGAGCUCCUGCUGCAUGGUGGUGGUUGGAAAGUUUCGGCGGUUGGGGAUGGACUCGCGGCUUAUCAGCUUGUUGGUGGGGUAGUGGCUUACCAAGGCUUUGACGGGUAGCCGCCCUGAGAGGGUGACCGGCGACAUUGGGACUGAGAUACGGACCAGACUCCUACGGGAGGCAGCAGUGGGGAAUAUUGCACAAUGGGCGGAAGCCUGAUGCAGCAACGCCGCGUGCGGGAUGACGGCCUUCGGGUUGUAAACCGCUUUCGCAUGUGACGAAGCGUGAGUGACGGUAAUGGGUAAAGAAGCAACGGCUAACUACGUG
rnacentral:rRNA from 1 species